CAGCCGCCAAGGCCGUCUUCGGGCCCGCCCGCAGGUGACGGCGAGGUCACGCUGAUCAUGAUGCUCGAUCUUCAGACCGAGGUCGAAAUGAAGCUUCCUGGCCGUUUCAAGGUGUCGCCGCAGAUCGCCGGCGCGCUCAAGGCGGUCUCCGGCGUGGUGGAUGUGCAGACGAUCUGACGGUUGCCCCUGACGGUUGCCUUGGGGGCUGCCGCCUUAUUCCGACUAUCUUUCGUUCAACCACUGUUCAUGCGGCGCGGGGUUGACU
rnacentral:misc_RNA from 1 species